UGGCCUCGUAGCAGGCAGGAGCAGUCAGGUCGGGAUGUUCACAACACCUUUGUUGUCCGACUCUGUUGCCUCCGGGGCGACCCUGCCUCCGGGCGGGGGCCCCGGGUGGACAUUUCAAACUCUUGCGUAACUUUGCAGUCUGAGUAAAUUUAAUUAAUAAAUUAAAACUUUCAACAACGGAUCUCUUGGUUCUGGCAUCGAUGAAGAACGCAGCGAAAUGCGAUAAGUAAUGUGAAUUGCAGAAUUCAGUGAAUCAUCGAAUCUUUGAACGCACAUUGCGCCCCCUGGUAUUCCGGGGGGCAUGCCUGUUCGAGCGUCAUUUCACCACUCAAGCCUCGCUUGGUAUUGGGCGACGCGGUCCGCCGCGCGCCUCAAAUCGACCGGCUGGGUCUUUCGUCCCCUCAGCGUUGUGGAAACUAUUCGCUAAAGGGUGCCGCGGGAGGCCACGCCGUAAAACAACCCCAUUUCUAAGGUUGACCUCGGAUCAGGUAGGGAUACCCGCUGAACUUAAGCAUAUCAAUAAGCGGAGGAA
rnacentral:rRNA from 1 species